GGACUACUCGGGUAUCUAAUCCUGUUUGCUCCCCACGCUUUCGCACCUCAGUGUCAGUAUCAGUCCAGGUGGUCGCCUUCGCCACUGAUGUUCCUUCCUAUAUCUACGCAUUUCACCGCUACACAGGAAAUUCCACCACCCUCUACCGUACUCUAGCUCAGCAGUUUUAGAAGCAAUUCCCAGGUUAAGCCCGGGGCUUUCACUCCUAACUUACUGAACCACCUACGCGCGCUUUACGCCCAGUAAUUCCGAUUAACGCUUGCACCCUUCGUAUUACCGCGGCUGCUGGCAC
rnacentral:rRNA from 2 species